GUUGUGUCCCAGUAGCGCGCAAUUGGACUUCUAAUCCAAAGGUCGUGGGUUUGAAUCCUACCUGGAAUG